rnacentral:rRNA from 1 species
AGACGAACCGUCCAAACGUUAUUCGGUAUCACUGGGCUUAAAGAGUUCGUAGGCGGCCAAGCAGGUCAGGUGUGAAAUCCCACAGCUCAACUGUGGAACUGCGCUUGAAACCGUUUGGCUUGAGGGAGAUAGAGGUGAGCGGAACAGAUGGUGGAGCGGUGAAAUGCGUUGAUAUUAUCUGGAACACCGGUGGCGAAAGCGGCUCACUGGAUCUCUUCUGACGCUCAGGAACGAAAGCUAGGGUAGCGAACGGGAUUAGAUACCCCGGUAGUCCUAGCCGUAAACGAUGAGCACUAGUCCGUGGGGACUUCCACAUCUUCUCGGACGUAGCGAAAGUGUUAAGUGCUCCGCCUGGGGAGUAUGGUCGCAAGGCUGAA